UGCAGUCGAGCGAAUGGAUUAAGAGCUUGCUCUUAUGAAGUUAGCGGCGGACGGGUGAGUAACACGUGGGUAACCUGCCCAUAAGACUGGGAUAACUCCGGGAAACCGGGGCUAAUACCGGAUAACAUUUUGAACUGCAUGGUUCGAAAUUGAAAGGCGGCUUCGGCUGUCACUUAUGGAUGGACCCGCGUCGCAUUAGCUAGUUGGUGAGGUAACGGCUCACCAAGGCAACGAUGCGUAGCCGACCUGAGAGGGUGAUCGGCCACACUGGGACUGAGACACCGCCCACACUCCUACGGGAGGCAGCAGUAUGGAAUCUUCCGCAAUGGACGAAAGUCUGACGGAGCAACGCCGCGUGAGUGAUGAAGGCUUUCCGGUCAUACAACUCUGUUGUUA
rnacentral:rRNA from 1 species